rnacentral:rRNA from 1 species
GGAAUUGACGGAAGGGCACCACCAGAUGUGGCCGUGCGGCUUAAUUUGACUCAACACGGGGAAACUCACCAGGUCCAGACACAUUAAGGAUUGACAGAUUGAGAGCUCUUUCUUGAUUAUGUGGGUGGUGGUGCAUGGCCGUUCUUAGUUGGUGGAGUGAUUUGUCUGCUUAAUUGCGAUAACGAACGAGACCUUAACCUGCUAAAUAGCCAGGCUAACAACAGUUGGUCGCCGGCUUCUUAGAGGGACUAUCGGCUCAAGCCGAUGGAAGUUUGAGGCAAUAACAGGUCUGUGAUGCCCUUAGAUGUUCUGGGCCGCACGCGCGCUACACUGACAGAGCCAACGAGUAUAAACCUUGUCCGAAAGGUCUGGGUAAUCUUGUUAAACUCUGUCGUGCUGGGGAUAGGGCAUUGCAAUUAUUGCCCUUCAACGAGGAAUAUCUAGUAAGCGCAAGUCAUCAGCUUGCGUUGAUUACGUCCCUGCCCUUUGUACACACCGCCCGUCGCUACUACCGAUUGAAUGGCUCAGUGAGGCCCUCGGACUGGCUCAGGGAGGUCGGCAACGACCACCCAGAGCCGGAAAGUUGGUCAAACUUGGUCAUUUAGAGGAAGUAAAAGUCGUAACAAGGUUUGAAGUAUGACCCUUCUGUGGUGACACUUACGAGAAGCCUUUGCGGCCCCGCAAGGGGUACCGGCCGCGACUAUAAAUGAAAGGCAAGCCGGCAUUAAAUCGCAAGUCAGCUCAGCUGGCUACACUUUCGAAUUGCGGGAAACCCCUAAAGCCGACCUCUACCAACUGUUCAGGGAAACCUGGAUGGGGCCUGUGCUAACAUCACAGGGUACGGUAACAAUGAGGAGGAUAUAUGGGCAAUCCGCAGCCAAGUCCCUAAGGCUCUCGAGCUAUGGGAAAGGUUCACAGACUAAGUGGAAGUGGGUUGGGGCGGUUGUAAUCCGCCCCGGCUUAAGAUAUAGUCGGGCUGUCCGCGAGAGCAGACAGGAUGUCACAAAUCAACCGUUCCGUAGGUGAACCUGCGGAAGGAUCAUUA